GCCCAAGUGGUGGAAUUGGUAGACACGCUAUCUUGAGGGGGUAGUGGGUAUUCCCGUGCCGGUUCGAAUCCGGCCUUGGGCACCA
rnacentral:tRNA from 1 species